rnacentral:misc_RNA from 1 species
GAGGAGAAAUUAUUCAGAGAGAGAUGCAGAAAGCGCUGAGAGUGUAUGGCGAGGUUCUAAGGCUCGUGAGGCGUCUACCGGAGGACACGAGGCCUUAUUACGGCAAAUAUUUGCGUGAAAACUUCGUUAACUACAGAGAGGUCGACGCCAACGACACUACUGCCCUCGACGAGCUCUUCCGCCGAGCCUACAAUCACUCCCUCUGGGUCCUCAAUAAGUAUUCAGUUGAUGAAUCGGCCGCUAAUAAGCUGAAGGAGAUUUGUUGUGGUUGAAAAGAAAACAAGAAAGAGUACAACUCAGGUGCUUGUUAUUUUAACCAAAUGAGUAUGCACCGCUUGAUUUAUUUUGCUUUGCAAAUUUGAGUUUAUAUGGUCUCAUGUCUUUCCAGCCUUUUGAUUUGGUGCAAAAUCAUUCUUAAAAUGUUUACAAAUUUUUAUUUCGACGUGGGUUAUGCUUGGUUGUUCAUUGUAGUUGAGUAAGUGCAGUUUCUUGGCUUAAACUAGUUUACUCUUGCAGCUUCAAUUACUGGUGGAGUUGGCAAGACUUACCUGUUGAUGAUGUAAGAUGGAUCAAUUAAUUUAGUGCGCUUGAUUUGAGCCUAGCAUGAGAAAUAAAAUUUGUGUUUCAAAACUUCUUUCAUUAGUUUUCUUUUUUUUUAGAUUAUGACAAAUCUGGCAUGUCCCAUAGAUUUGAUUUAAGGUGUAUUUGUAAAUUUUGAAUUUUCUAAGUUGUAUUUCUUUCAUUACUUGUAUUUUGGGCAUGAUGUGGAAGAGAGAUGGCUGUCAUUUUUUUUCUCUGCUUCUAAAGAAUCAAUACUUUUUGAAGAAUGAUUAUAUAAUUACUAAGGCCUUCUACUUUCCUUUUCUUAUUAGUUUCUUUAACCAAGUUUUGUUGGUUGAUUAAAGAGCCUACUGAAUAUUUUAUUCGGAUAGAGGCUUUAUUUUCUUUUUCUUUUUGGUUAUCUUAACCAAGCUUCUGUUUACUGAUUUUCGGUCUGCCUUUCUGUUACAUUAGCAUGAUGUUAACAGUUUCUCAUUCCUAGUUAUGAUUGAUGCUAUUUUAUAGUUUCCAAUAAAUUAAAGAGUAUUCUUGUUUAAUCUAACAGUAUCAUAUUUGAAUUCAAAUCCAUGUAAAAACUAGGGUUAGCGUUUCGAGUUUUAUGACAUUGAUAAAACCUAUGUUUCUAUCAUUUCUUGUACGUAUAUCAUGAACUCCUGGAUGUAUUUAUAGCUAUAGCUCUAUUUCAUUCCUUUCUGGCAUGAACCUGCACAAGGUAGGCUAUAUAUAUCAUAUAUAGUUCUACCUGCUCUCUUCAUGCUUCAAUUCCAAUGGACAUUACAUUAGCACAUGUCAGCUCAAUCUUUUUCCUUGAAGAGCUGUGGUGUUCAUCUGCACGCUGUUUGGUAGCUUUGACAAAACAAGAUACUAAAUUUUUGGCUAGUACAUCGAAUAAGACUUGAGCCACAUUUUCAUGCUGUUCCAUCUUUGUCAUGUUCUGUUUGAGAUUUUGAAUGGACUCAAUCAAGCUAUAUCAGAAGACAUUGAAAGUUGCGUUUGAGACUUUGUAGUUUGAAUGGACUUCAUGAGCUAACUUUUCUUGUAG